rnacentral:lncRNA from 1 species
UGUUAGCCUUUGAGGAGAGAGGAAGUCUCCAGGUGGCUAACAGAGAAGCUGGGAAGAUUCUCUCGUCCUCAAGGAGCUCAAGCCUGAGGGAGAAAAGCACCUAAACCAGGAAGGAGAUGUGAAGUCAUGAGACUGGCUGACUCGUAGAGGAUAAGGGUCUCCUGGCCUGAACCACCACAGAACCAGACCGGGAUUCUCAUCCACAGGACGUGGAACCCCCUCCGCCUCCGCCACCCCCUCAAACUGUGAGGGCCGCUGCCUCUUGACGCUCGAGGAUCCCUGCGUGUUCUCUCCCUCCUCGCCUGAUGCCUCCCUCAGAUCCCUUUUCCAGCUCCCACCACCGCCGGGUCUGGAGCGUUGGGAGCACCGGCUCUCCUCCACCACCUCGAAGAGCUUGUCCACGAACUGCCAGGUGGAGUCGUCAAGGAGAGGCUCCAACUGGGUCUCUGCCCUCUUCUGGUCCAACCCCCUCACCAUGCAAUUCAGUGCUGCUGUGACUACCGUGGACUCCGAGAAUCCCAGCACCUCCCUCACCGUCUGCUCGACCCGUGGCUUCAGGCCAUCCAGCUCUCUCUUGGACAGUGCCAUCCCUCAGGGGAGGGGCAGAGAGAACUCUGCGGCCUUCUACCAGACUAUGAGGUCACAGUUGGUGACAGGGUAGCAGUCACAGCCUCAGGAAUAAAGAGCUUUCGAACCAGAACUAUCUCCCUCAAUACUCUAAUUUGGCAGUCCGUUGUUCUAGAUGGGAUUAAGGAAGGCUUUUUUGCUGUUACCUGAGACUUGUAUUUUAGGGAGUUUCAGAAAGUCCUCACCCACACCACGAUGAGGACCUCUGUCCCGUCUGUAUUUAUAUUAGGUCUGCCCCUUUAUCACGCUCGGUAUUCCAGCCAGGGAGCUCGAGUUCACACCUUAUAGGAAGACUCAAGGGUUCUAAUCCCAGCCCCCCUUCAUUCCUGCCGUGUGAACACCUGGGUAAAUCACUUAACUUCUUUGUACCUCAGUUUCCUCCUCUGCCAACUGGGGACUCGAUACCUCUGUCCUUUCUCCUACGGGAAGCAGCGUGGC